AUUCCCUGAAAGACAUGGGUAGUGAGAUGAGUUUGACUGCAUUGCCAUCUCACUACCUUGUCUUUGUUGGAAAU
rfam:Ixodes scapularis strain Wikel colony gcontig_1107729167050, whole genome shotgun sequence.